rnacentral:rRNA from 1 species
UCCUGGCUCAGGAUGAACGCUGGCGGCGUGCCUAUUACAUGCAAGUCGAGCGAACAGAUAAGGAGCUUGCUCCUUUGAAGUUAGCGGCGGACGGGUGAGUAACACGUGGGUAACCUACCUAUAAGACUGGAAUAACUUCGGGAAACCGGAGCUAAUGCCGGGAUCACAUUUGGAACCGCAUGGUUCUAAAUUAAAAGAUGGUUUUGCUAUCACUUAUAGAUGGACCCGCGCCGUAUUAGCUAGUUGGUAAGGUAACGGCUUACCAAGGCAACGAUACGUAGCCGACCUGAGAGGUGAUCGGCCACACUGGAACUGAGACACGGUCCAGACUCCUACGGGAGGCAGCAGUAGGGUAUCUUCCGCAAUGAACGAAAGUCUGACGGAGCAACGCCGCGUGAAUGAUGAAGGUUUUCGGAUCGUAUUACUCUGUUAUUAGGGAAGAACAAAUGUGUAAGUAACUGUGCACAUCUUGACGGUCCCUCAUAAGAAGCCACGGCUAACUACGAGCCAGCAGCCGCGGUAAUAGCGUAGGUGGCAACGUUAUCCGGAAUUA